AGAGGCGGAGAUAACGAAGAAGGAACAAUGAGGGUUAUUAUAUCUGAAGAUUCCGACGGACACGGGUUCGUCGGUAUUCCGUCGGUAUAAUUAAAAUAUACCAAAUGCCGAUUCGCGAAAAUUUUCAAGCGGUUUGGUUCUCCCGGGCAAAUUUAAUUUCCGACGGAAUGUGUCCGUCAGUAUAUUCCGACGGAAUUCCGACGACAUAGUGUUUAGGAUGUUGAUUUCAAGUUUCUAAAUGCAAAAUCCAAAUCUUUGAUAAUAUAUAUAGUAUUUGCAUAAAUAUUUAACAAUAAAAAUGUUUUAUAACACGAUUUUACACAUCAAAUUUUUUUGUAGUGUAAGCUUAUAUAUGAAUAUGAUUGUAUAAGUAUAUAAUGUUAAGAUGAGAUGUUAUGAAAACAAUGAUAUGCAUACAUAAAUAUUUUAUGAGUUGUUAUAUUUGAACGGUUGCGAUCUAAUACUAUACUAAACAC
rnacentral:lncRNA from 1 species